UUUGUUUCCGGCAAGAAACAGGCAAGAAAGCGAAGUGAGGAUUUUUGCAUGUUUUUGAAGGAAUCGUGGAAAAAAAAUUUGUCAGAAAGCGAAAUCGAGAAUUGUCCAACUUCGGCAAUUGGCAACGGACACGUGGCUGCCGAAAAGGAGGGUGACAAGU